GGAAGCUCCACCCCGAGCAAGCAGGUUUCAGGCUAGGGGAGGGGAGACUACAAUAUACUCAAGCCGUGCCCAGGGUAGAAGACGGUCUCCUGUUGCUUCUAGAGCAAGAUGUAGAACUCUUGGCUCCUUCUCCAGCAACAUGUAGUCUGCAAGCUGCCAUGUCUCCCAUCAUGAGAAUAACGGACUAAACCUUUGAAACUGAACUGUUUGCAGAUCCCAUGGAUGCUACCUGAGCUCCGGAAUGCCACCCCUUCUGCUACAGGGCUUCAGUCCCAAGUCCCACCCGGCCAAAGAACUGGGCUCCUUGCCAGCGUUCCUGCCCCAUCCCAUCCUACCUUCCUGCCAACUGUCAGAGAUAUCAUCAAUAAAUUGUUUGAAUUAUUCAAUUCUAGAGAUUAAAUACUCCCCUGCUCCCCAAACCCAGAGAUAAAAUCAAACUCAAAACAGUUUGACGGAAAGCCGACCGUGUUUUGUAAUCUGCCCCACCCCCACCCCUCCCAGGUUCCUCCUGGCUUCUUUCUCAUCACUCGCCCAGGCAUGGUUCUGGUGUUGAGGCAUCUGCAUGCCUCUCCUCCUUCAUCUGGCUAUUUCCCUUCUUCAGACUCGACUAGAAAUUGUGCUCAGGGGCUGGGGGUGUAGCUCGGGGAGUG
rnacentral:lncRNA from 1 species